GUGGGGAAUCUUGCGCAAUGGGCGAAAGCCUGACGCAGCCAUGCCGCGUGAAUGAUGAAGGUCUUAGGAUUGUAAAAUUCUUUCACCGGGGACGAUAAUGACGGUACCCGGAGAAGAAGCUCCGGCUAACUUCGUGCCAGCAGCCGCGGUAAUACGAAGGGGGCUAGCGUUGCUCGGAAUUACUGGGCGUAAAGGGCGCGUAGGCGGACAGCUUAGUCAGAGGUGAAAGCCCAGGGCUCAACCUUGGAAUUGCCUUUGAUACUGGCUGUCUUGAGUUGUGGAGAGGUGAGUGGAACUCCGAGUGUAGAGGUGAAAUUCGUAGAUAUUCGGAAGAACACCAGUGGCGAAGGCGACUCACUGGCCCAAUACUGACGCUGAGGCGCGAAAGCGUGGGGAGCAAACAGGAUUAGAUACCCCAGUAGUCC
rnacentral:rRNA from 1 species